rnacentral:rRNA from 1 species
CUUGUUCAAUUAUAGGAGGUCCAGCCUGCCCAGUGACUCUGUUCAACGGCCGCGGUAUCCUAACCGUGCGAAGGUAGCGUAAUCACUUGUUCUUUAAAUGAGGACUAGUAUGAAUGGCCCCACGAGGGCUGCACUGUCUCCUUUUUCUAAUCAAUGAAACUAAUCUCCCCGUGAAGAAGCGGGAAUUAUCCUAUAAGACGAGAAGACCCUAUGGAGCUUUAAACAAUUGAAACAUUUGCUUUUCUCCUAACUCCUCCCGAGCUCUUUAUUUUUAUUUAAGCAUUAUUAUUUCUAGUUUUAGGUUGGGGUGACCACGGAGCAAAACUAAACCUCCAUGAAGAAAUGAAUAUUUUUAAGCCACAAACUACUUUUUUAAGCAUCAACAAAUUGACCUUCAUUGACCCAAUAUAUUGAUCAACGAAC